GACGAACGCUGGCGGCGCGCCUAACACAUGCAAGUCGAACGAGCGAGAGAGAGCUUGCUUUCUCAAGCGAGUGGCGAACGGGUGAGUAACGCGUGAGGAACCUGCCUCAAAGGAGGGGACAACAGUUGGAAACGACUGCUAAUACCGCAUAAGCCCACAGGGCCGCAUGGCCCGGUGUGAAAAACUCCGGUGGUAUAAGAUGGACCCGCGUCUGAUUAGCUGGUUGGUGGGGUAACGGCCCACCAAGGCGACGAUCAGUAGCCGGCCUGAGAGGGUGAACGGCCACAUUGGGGCUGAGACACGGCCCAG
rnacentral:rRNA from 1 species